ACGUAAUUUCUGGUAGGUUGAAUUACCCUGUGGUAUAAGCCCAAAAUGUGAGGUCGGUGUAGAUUUUGACUUAUGUUUGGCGAUUGUAAAUCAAUUAUCUAAAUUAGGCAAACGAGUAAGUUGAGAAAUUCUAAAUUCUAAACUGUGCUAAUAACAAUUAAACCUUCUUUUUUCCUUAAAAAAAUCGAGAAAAAUAUGAGAUUUAUUAUUUUGUAAGUGAAACAAAAUUUGUUUUCAUUGUCAGACUAUUGAAAUUGAAUAUAUGCCCUCCCGCAGUCAAAUCAUUUGCAAAUUAACUUUUGCUCGACACUUUGUUGAUAUUUUCCUUAAACCAAACAAUUAGAUCUAUCCUUCUACUGUCUUCUUCGAGCGAUUGGACUCUAGUAACUCAGUUUUCUUCCCCAAUUGCAUUGACAAGGGAAUCACCCUUGGGGGAUUGGGUUUUCCUUUUUCGGACGGCAGUGGUAUCUCCAAUCAAGACUUGAAUUGUAAUCGUGAAAAAGAGAACCACUGUUGUUUCUUUAGGUUUGUAAUCGUGAGCUCUUUCUGUGGAAGAAAACGUUUCCAGUAGAAAUGUUUUACUACUAUAUCAUCUUCUGCAUAUUUUCCGGUGUAUGUUUGGUGACAUAUGCAAGAUGUAAGAUAGGGUAUGAGAAUAGUUCCGUUAUGAUUUUUAGUAUAAAAGAUUGAAAAUAUUUCUGGUCCGAUCCUUCGCGGACCCCGCGCAUAGCAGGAGCUUAGUGCGCUGCCCUACCUGUCGGUUAAAGCAAGUGUGAUGGGAUAAGAUUGCAAGUGAUGUGGAGUAAGACUUGUGAUAUUUGUGAAGGAAAUGACUUGUGCUUAUUGGUAAAGGAAGUCAUUUCUCCCUUUUGGCAAAAGAUGUUUUCUUUUGUGUUAACCAACUACUCUAAAAUUAUUCAUCCUUGAAAAUAUUAUCCAGCCAUCACCAAACAUAUAAUAUUCUCUAGUUUCUUUCUUUGUUUGAUCAUCCAGUUUUACUAUUGGCAUUUUUGUUAUCUUCUGAGGUUUCAGAGGAGGGUGUUUUUUGAUGCUUGGUAAUCAGCUGAGCAAAUGGGCCCUAUAUAUUACAUCCUUAUUGCAUUGCCUUGCACCUUUGGUGCCAUAGCGCUGGCACUUGUGCACAUAUACAGGCACCUUUUGAAUUACACUGAGCCAACUUAUCAAAGAUACAUUGUCCGGAUCAUCUUUAUGGUUCCUGUGAAAAGUUAAGCUCACAUAUGGGAUGCUCCAACGGAUCAUCAUCAAACUUCUGAGGUAAAUUCUCAACUUGUGGAUCUAGUGCAUGCUCCUCCUCCUUGUGCUCUUCCGUAGUAAUACCAACAUUCAAAGACUUUUCUCCAUUGAUUGGACCAAUUAUUUGUAAUUUGUUCAGAAAAGAAUCAUCAUUGAGCUGGUACUAAAAUAAUCUUACGUCCAUUCUCUGUAAAAGAAUAGGUAUUAAGGUCUUCAUCAUAUUUAGCACACCUAUCAUACACCCAUGGUCUUCUAAGUAAUAAGUGACAAGCAUCCAUAUUCACUACGUCACACCAAAUCUUGUCUUUAUAGAUCUUACCAAUAGAAAAAGAUACUAGGCAUUGACGAGUUACCUUUAAACCAUCAUCAUUUCAACUUCAAUGCUGUAAGGAUAUGGAUGAAGCUUGGUAAGUGGGAAAACAUCGACAGAGAAUGGAACUUGAUUCUGGAUAGCUAAAGCAGAGAGCCAAAGACUACCAUCUGUAACUGCCUUUUAGUAGGUGGAUUUCAUUCCAUAAGUUAAUUACCCUGUGAAUAAUGGUCAUUGGAGUGAUGCAAGAUGUAAGAACUGCAUCCCCCAAAAACGCAACGAAGCAUGGGAUUGUAUGAGUAGGGUACGAGCAGUUUCAAUAAGAUGUCUAUUCUUUCUUUCAGCUACCCCAUUUUGUUGAGAUG